AGCGGAGUGGAGCAGCAGAACGCUCGGGGGUCUCAUAAACCCCAGACACCGGUGCAAUUCCGGUCUCCGCCA
rnacentral:tRNA from 1 species